GGGAAGGGGUUAAGUCGGCCACCGAUACCAAUGAACAUAUACCUUUGUAUAUGAUUUCGUAGAUAGGCGUCCUGUUGGAUUUGAAGCUGGGGUGUGAAUUCCAGUGGAUCUUGCAGGAAUGUGGAUCCUGGUAGUAGUAGCAGCAAAGUAAAGUGUGAAUCUUUAUCGCCGAAGGGGCUAGGGUUCCUUGGCAAUGUUCGUCAGCCAAGGGUUAGGCGGUCCUAAGGGUAACGGUAAUUCCAGUUAUUCGAAAGGGAAACAGGUUAAUAUUCCUGUCCAACACAAUUUACACGGCAACGUUUAUGUUGGAUAUUUUUGACACUUCGUGAUAUGCCUUGUAAGAUUGUCGUCUUAUUCAAAUUUUAGAAGCUAAGGGAGAACUGUAAUAGUGAGAACUUGGUGUAUUUAUGAUUGAGUCUCUCGUUUUUUUUGAGAGAUUAUCUGGUUGAUUCAUGGAGUCCUUGAAAAGAAAAUAUCCAUUUAUUUGAUUGUGUUUCCGUACCGAGAUCCGACACAGGUGCCCCUAGUUUAGUAGACUUAGGCGUGUUAGGGUAAACCAGCUAAGGGAAUUCGGCAAUUUAGCUCCGUAACUUUGGGAUAAGGAGUGCCAGCUACGUGUAGUAGCUGGUCGCAGUGACUAGGGAGGUUCGACUGUUUAAUAAAAACAUAGCUCCCAGCUAGCCCGUAAGGGUGUGUACUGGGGGCGACACCUGCCCAGUGCUGGCACGUGAAGCUGGGGUUCAACCUGGUGAAGCGCCAGUAAACGGCGGGGGUAACUAUAACCCUCUUAAGGUAGCGAAAUGCCUUGCCGGACAAGUACCGGCCUGCAUGAAUGGUAGAACGAAAUCUCCACUGUCCCUAGCUGGAACCUAGUGAACCUGCUAUUCUGGUGCACAAGCCAGAGACUUCUAUUGGGAAGCGAAGACCCCGUAGAGUUUUACUGCAGUCUGCUAUUGAGGCUUGGUUGCAAGUAUGCAGCGUAAGUAGGAGACUUCGACGGUAUGUCGUCAGGCAUAUCUGAGUCAUUCAUGAGACACUACUUUCUUGUGACUGUGUUUCUAACAUAGCUAUUUUUUUUAGGUUAUGGACAUUGGUAGAUGGGCAGUUCGGCUGGGGCGGUACGCGUUUGAAAAGAUAUCAAACGCGCCCAAAGGUUGGUUCAAGUGGGACAGAGAUCCACUGUAGAGUGUAAGGGCAUAAGCCAGCCUGACUGUAUUUCGAACAGUAAGAAAUUCAGAGGCGAAAGCCGGGCCUAACGAACCUCAAUGUCCUCGUCGAUGGGGGCUUGAGAUGACAGAAAAACUACCUCGGGGAUAACUGGGUGGUCGCAGGCAAGAGCCCAUAUCGACCCUGCGGCUUGCUACUUCGAUGUCGGUUCUUUCCAUCCUGGGUGUGCAGCAGCACCCAAGGGUGGGGCUGUUCGCCCAUUAAAGGGGAACGUGAGCUGGGUUAGACCGUCGUGAGACAGGUUGGUUGCUAUCUAAUAGAAGUGUUUUGUUGCUUGAGCGGAAGGUGGUUCCAGUACGAGAGGAACGAGCCGUCGGUGUCUCUGGUCUACCAGUUGUCUGAUAAGGCAUCGCUGGGCAGCUACGCACUAUGAUAAUAAAGGCUGAAAGCAUCUAAGCCUGAGGUAUUCCGUGAAAAUAAGCAGCUUUUUUAGGGUAUGAGUAGAAGACUUGUUUGAUGGGAUUGGGAUGUAAGCUUCGAGAUUCUUUGUUUUCGAGUUGUUAAGCCCGCAAUUUCCAACACCCGAUUUC
rnacentral:rRNA from 1 species